UACGGAGGGUGCGAGCGUUGUUCGGAAUCACUGGGCGUAAAGCGCGUGUAGGCGGCCUGCUAAGUCUGAUGUGAAAGCCCGAGGCUCACCCUCGGAAGUGCAUUGGAAACUGGCAGACUGGAGUCCCGGAGAGGAGGGUGGAAUUCCUGGUGUAGCGGUGAAAUGCGUAGAUAUCAGGAAGAACACCCGUGGCGAAGGCGGCUCUCUGGGACGGUACUGACGCUGAGACGCGAAAGCGUGGGGAGCAAACAGG
rnacentral:rRNA from 1 species